GUUUGAUCAAAAGUCAAAACGAAGCAGCAGCAGCAGAGCCUGGUGUCACUAAAAGCUAGAAUAUUGGAAAAUGGAGGUUGUAUCUGCAAUCAUUAGUCCUAUUGUUGAAUCAUUAGUGGGUUCUGUCAAAAAGCAGUUGGGUUUUCUCUUUUUCUCCACUAAACAUGUUAGGAACAUGAUUACUAAAACGAAGCAACUAAAUGAUACAAUCAUUGAUGUCGAAAUGCUCAUGGUAAAAAACAAAAUAAGUAAUCUGGAGAUACCUGCUCGUAUACCUGGUUGGUUAGAAGAAGCCAAACAGACUAAAGAAAAAGCUCAAAGCAUUCCAAGUACUGGGAAUGGAUGUUUUAACAUGAAGUUGAGGUAUCAAACAGGAAAGAAGGCAUUCAAGACUACGGAGGAGAUGGGAAGUUUUAUUGAUGAAAAUAGUAAGAUAAUUUGGACAGAUGCUCAAAAAUCUCUUGCGAAAUUGAACUCAAAAAUCACAUCCAGUUCUGUACCUUCGGAUGGUGAUGCCCAAAAUCACUUCAAAUCAAGAGAGAAGCCUUUUAAGGAUGCGCUCGGGUUCCUUCAACAGAAUCAGAUGAUAGCCCUAUGUGGAAUGGGUGGUGUGGGAAAAACCACCAUGAUGGAACAACUGAAAAAGCAUCUGGUAGGUGAGAAAAUGUUUGAUUUGUUUCUAAUGGUGGUUAUUGGGAAAAAAGAAACGUCUUCUAUACAGCAAGCUUUAGCAGAAUGCAUACCUGUAUCUCUAACUGAAACAGAUCCAACAAGAAGGGCAGAACGUCUUGGUAUAGCAUUUACAGAGCUGGUAAAACUAAAAAAAAAGGUUUUAGUGAUAUUAGAUGAUGUAUGGGAGACUAUCGAACUCAAAGAUAUUGGACUAAGUCCUUUUCCCAACAGCUUCAAGUUAUUGUUGACAUCGCGCAAUGAAAUAAUUUGCAGGCAAAUUGCAGCAACAUGUAAUUUUGAUUUGAAAGUAGUUAAUGUGGAGCUCAUGGAGGAGCUUGAAGCACAAAAUUUCUUUUGGAAAAUCAUAGGAGCCGCAAAACAAAAUGAUCUGGAGCUCAAUCAAAUUGGAACAGGGAUUGUGAGAGAAUGUCGGUGUUUGCCCCUUGCCAUUAAUCUCGUUGCCAGUCGUCUUAAGUUUGAAGAAAAGGUUGCAUGGAGAGAUACACUUCGUCGUUUGAAGAAUAAAGAUCUCGAUUAUGUGCAAAAGAGUGUUAAGAUAAGCUAUGACUAUAUAAAAGAAGAGGAGGAAAAAGUGAUUUUUAUUCUUUGUGGCUUGUUUCCCGAUGACUUUAAUAUUCCAAUCGAGGAACUCACAAGAUAUGCAUGGGGCCUACGUUUGUUAAAUGGGGUUUCUACUUUGGGAGAAGCUAGGGACGGGACAGAGACGUGUGUGCGCAGUCUCAGAAAAGCAAAUUUGUUGAUGGACUGCGAUGAUGAUGGGUGUGUCAAAAUGCAUGAUCUUGUGCUCGACUUUGUGCUAGGUAUAGUUUCUAAGGGUGACCAUCCAUGGGUAAUUAAUCAUGGUGAUAAUUCAAAGUGGAGUAGUGCUGGAAUGAUUGAGUCUUGUAACAGAAUUUCUAUUACUUGCACAGGAAUGUCUGAGUUUGCUGGUGACUUUAAAUACCCAAACCUUUCACUUUUGAGACUUAUGGAUGGAGAUAAGUCGCUUAAGUUCCCUGAAGAUUUUUAUAAAAGAAUGGAAAAUCUUGAAGUUGUAGCAUAUGAAAAAAUGCAGUAUCCGUUGCUCCCCAGAUCACUUCAGUGCUCCACUAGGCUUCGGACACUCAUUUUCCAUAAAUGCUUAUUGAUGUUUGAUUGCUCUGUUAUUGGUGAACUCUUGAAUUUGGAAGUGCUCAGUUUUGCACAUUGCGGGAUCAGAAAGUUACCAUCCACAAUCGGAAAUUUGAAGAAGCUAAAGCUACUGGAUUUGACAGGGUGUGUAAAUCUUCGUAUUGAUGAUGGUGUCUUGAUAAAUUUGGUCGAGCUUCAAGAGCUUUAUAUGAGAGUUAAUAAUAGAAAGGCAAUCAGGUUCACAAAUGGCAAUUGUGCUGAAUUAGCAGAGCUUUCAAAGCACCUUUCUGCAUUAGAAGUUGAGUUCUUUGACAACAAUGAUACGCCCAAUAGUAUGCUGUUAACUGAACUUAAAAGGUUCAGGAUCUCUAUGGGAUGUGGUUUAGUAGAGAAUACUGACAAAAAUAUGCACUCAUUUGAAAACACAUUGAGGUUGGUCACUAACAAAAAUGAGCUAUUGGAAUCUAGCAUCAAUGAGUUGUUUGAGAAAACUGAGGUGCUUUAUUUGGAGGUGGAUGGUAUGAACAAUCUUGAAGAAGUUUUAAUGGAAUCAGUUCAUCUCCCUCAGCAGGCGUUUAAUAAUCUAAGAGUCCUUGAUGUGUUCAAGUGUGAAAACUUGAGGUACCUCUUCACAGUCCCUAUUGCAAAUGGUUUGGUGAAGCUUGAGCGCCUCACAGUUUCAGAGUGCUUUGUUCUUGAAAUACUUGCACAUAGUGAGAAUGGUGGAUAUUGUGCAAUUAAGUUUCAGGGGCUAAAGUUUCUAAGAUUGGAUAGGCUACCAAAGUUGAUAAGUCUUUGCGACACUGCUAAUGUAAUUGAGCUACCACAGCUGGUGGAGUUGGAACUUGAUGGCCUUCCUAAUUUCAGUAGCAUUUAUCCUGAGAAAACAUCUGCAACAUCUUCUAUGUCCAGUAAUGACUCUGCAAUUCAACCAUUCUUUAACAAACAGAUGCUGAUUCCUAAGUUGGAGAAAUUGAGGAUUUGGAGUAUGGAUAAGCUGAAAGAGAUAUGGCCUUAUCAAGUUAUAAGUAGCAAAGACGUUGAUGCCUGCAUGUUGAGAAAGAUUGAAGUAGGCUCUUGUGAUAAUCUUGUGAAUCUGUUUCCAACCAAUCCCAUGUCUUUGCUGGGUCGUCUGGAAGAGCUUCAUGUUUCAACCUGUGGAAGCAUUGAAGUGUUGUUUAACAUUGACAUGAGUUGUAUUGGUGAAAUUGAAGAAUUAAGUAGCAACUUGAGAUUUAUUUAUGUAUAUGGUUUGGGGAAGCUAAGAGAGUUGUGGAGGAUGAAAGGUGAAAGUAGCUCUGAUAUCCUCAUCCGUAGCUUUCAAGCUGUUGAAAGGAUAAAUAUAUAUAUAUUUGUGUGUGAGAGGUUUGUAAACGUAUUCACACCGACCGUGAGCAAUUCUGAUGUGAGGACACUUAUGAAUGUGAGUAUAGAUGGUAGGAGAACUUGGGAAGAAACCAGGGGAAACAUUGAAUUGGUUCAGAACAACCAAGAGAUUAAUGUUAUAUCCAAGGAAGAGAUCAUUUCAGAGGUGGAUGGUAAUAUUCCUGACGUUGAAUCCUCAAUUCAUCCCAAACCUUUUAACGUUAAUCACCUUCAUGUACUUGGCUGUAAGGAUGUUGAAGUGGUGUUUGAGAUAGAGAGUUCCAGUAACAGCAGCAGCAGCACAGAUUUCACAACAACUCUGCAUAAAUAUAAUCAUCAACCACCACCACUACUACUUCCCCACCUCAAGGAAUUAUAUUUAUAUAAUAUGGAGAGGAUGAGUGAUGUGUGGAAGUGCAAUUGGAAGAAACUUGUAAUUCCUCAAAACCAAUCACAAUCCUACUCAUUCCACAACCUCACAACCAUACGCAUGAGUUACUGCAAAAGCAUAAAGUACUUAUUUUCAUCUCUCAUGGGCAAACUUCUUCCCAACUUAAAGAAGGUCUGGAUAGAUAAGUGUGAUGGUAUUGAAGAAGUUGUUUCAAAUAGAGAUAUUAAUGAUGAAAAUGAAGAAAUAAUAUCUUCUACUCACACAAACACCUUCUCCUCCUUCCCUCUUCUUGAUUAUCUCGACCUUUAUUCUCUGCCACGCCUAAAGAGUAUCGAUGGCGGUACUACGAUCACAACUACUUCCAUCCAUGAUCAGUUCAAGUGUUCUCAAGUCGGUGUUGCUUCUUGGCUCUUAUGCCAAUACUCCAAAAAGAUUGAGAUAUAUAAUUGUCCUGCCCUAUCAAGAGUGUUUCCAUCCAAUGUAGUGGGACAACUGAAUAAACUUGAAGAGUUGUAUAUAUGGGAAUGCAAAUCAAUGGUGGAGAUAUUUGAAAGUAAAGAAAUAAACAAAGAUGGUGUUGAUAGUACUUCGAAUGUUGGUGAUGGAAGUGAUGAUACUUGUACUGCAAUCACCCUCCCAAGGUCGGCCAAUAUGACUCUGCUUCAAUUGCCCAACCUAACAAUAUUGCGAAUCUAUAACUGUGAAGUAUUGGAAUAUAUAAUCACAAGUUCCACACUUGAAAGCCUCAAGCAACUCAAAGAACUGACUGUAAAACAAUGCAAGGCAAUGAAAGUGAUUGUGAAGGAAGACGCAGAGCACACAGAAACAUUUAAAUCUAUAAUAGUCUUCCCUCGUCUCAAGUCCCUUACACUCGCAGAUUUACCAGAUCUCAAGGGUUUCUUCUUGGGGAAGAAUGAGUUCAGGUGGAAAGCAUUGGAAAAGGUUAAGAUUGAUGGGUGCCCACAAAUGAUGAAUUUCACAUCUGGUCACUCCAUGACUCCGAAGCUCAAUUACAUACAUACAGAAUUAGGCAAGCAUAGUCUUGAUCAAUAUGGCCUCAACUUCCAUUUGACAAAUGCUACACAUGAGGAUGAGCAGAUUCAACUUCCUAUGUGCUCUACUCCAGAUAUGAUAAUGCUAGUUCAGUUCCCGUGGUCUUUUUCAAAUUUAGUUGAAGUAGAUGCACACGAGUAUGAUGACAAAUUGUUUGAAAGCCGCAUAAUUUUUCCAUGCAAGGAGUUGCUUAAUUUGAAGAAUCUUGAAAAGCUUUCUAUUACCAGGAAGUAUGGUGAAUCUAAAAUAGAGGAGGUAUUUGAAGUAGCAGAAGGGACAAAUGAAGAUGUGGUAUUUGAGAAGCUGAAAGAGGUGGCUGUGGAUGGACUAGAUAAACUAAAACAUAUGUGGAAGAGCAAUCGGUGGAUAGUGUUGAACUUUCCAAACCUUACAAAGGUCUCAAUUGUAAGUUGUAAGCUUCUUGGACACGUUUUCAGUAGUUGCAUGGUUGGUAGUCUAUUGCAGCUCCAAGAGCUAAAAAUAAGUGACUGCAAGAGUAUGGAUGUGAUUGUGAAGCAAGUUGAAGAUUCCGAAACCAGACCGACUACUGAGGUUGUGUUCCCUUGUCUAAAAUCCAUAACACUUGAAAAGCUUCCAAAUCUCAAGGGAUUUUGCCUGGGGAAGGUGGCUUUUGAAUGGCCAUUAUUAGAUACCUUGGAAAUCAAAGAUUGUCCACAAAUAACAGUUUUCACAAAUGGGCAAUCAACUACUCUGGAGCUGAAGUUAAUAGAUACAACUUUUGGAUUGUGUCAUGCAACGGAAGACCCAAACUCUUUCAUAAAGACCAAACAAGAAGAGGGAUGGCAGUUCUAGAGGAACAUUUGAAUUCACACGUGCAGUUUGGCUCAUUUUGAAGUUAGCUAUAUAGCACAGAUAUACCAAAUAGAAGUACAGACCACAGUAUCCAAGACAACUUUCUUUUUCGAAACAAUAGGCAACUGAUCCACCAACACAAACAAAUCAGGAACGGAAUCAAAAGGAAUUUUUGAAAUCUCCAACCAUUUAAAAAUCUCAAACCAACUCCUAGCAACAACCUCACAUUUCAAAUGAUCUUGUUGCUCAACCUCUACAUCACAAAUAGUGUUUUUUAUCGUCGUCUUCAAUGAAUAUAUCUCAUGACGAUUUUAAAUAAACCAUUGUUCAUGAAAGCCUGAGAAGUGAGGAUAAUGCCCUUGACUAUGAGCCACCCAGUAUGAAGGAAAUACCAAUCAAGAAAACCAAUGGGACCUGUAUGGACUAUGAAAAAGAGAAUAUGGAAAUGACAGAUGUUGAAAUGAUGAAGGCAUUUUGUAUCACUCUUUAUUUUCUAUUCUUUUCCAAUUUUCCUAUUUUUUUUUUUUCGUUUUUCAUUAUGGUUCAUAAUUUUUGUUGAUGGAGGUUUCUCAUAGUGAGGUUACACAUUGAUAUGAUGUAUAUUGUGAGCUCAAAUGUUAACAUUCAGUUAAUGCUUAAACUUGUGAUUACACUUAGCAAGCAAAAAGUGCAUUUGUUUGUAUGGCUUCAUCAUC